rnacentral:ribozyme from 1 species
AAAAAAAAAAAAAAAAAGAAAAAGGCCAAAGAGUUAACAUCCCAAUUAAAGAUGAAAGCUUUUCUUCUGAUUCUGUUA